GACAGAGGGUGCAACCGUUGUUCGGAAUUACUGGGCGUAAAGCGUGCGUAGGCGGUCCGCAAAGUCUGAUGUGAAAGCCCCGGGCUCAACCUGGGAACUGCAUUGGAAACUAACGGGCUCGAGUGUGGCAGAGGGGGGUGGAAUUCCACGUGUAGCAGUGAAAUGCGUAGAGAUGUGGAGGAACACCGAUGGCGAAGGCAGCCCCCUGGGCUAACACUGACGCUCAGGCACGAAAGCGUGGGGAGCAAACAGG
rnacentral:rRNA from 1 species